rnacentral:rRNA from 1 species
UGCCAGCCGCCGCGGUAAUACGGAGGGUCCAAACGUUGUCCGGAUUUACUGGGCGUAAAGAGCAUGUAGGCGGAUGAAUUAGUCAGAGGUGAAAGCCCCGAGCUCAACCGCGGAACUGCUUUUGAUACUGGUGGUCUUGAGUGUGCUCGAAGUUGGCGGAAUAUGACAUGUAGCGGUGAAGAGCUUAGAUAUGUCAUAGAACACCGAUUGCGAAGGCAGCCAACUAGGUCACAACUGACACUGAGGGACGAAAGCGUGGGGAGCGAACAGGAUUAGAUA